rnacentral:rRNA from 1 species
CCUGUGAAACCCAAAAGAUCGAAUGGGGAGAUUCAUCGUCAGCGAUCCUGGUGUUUGUACGGCUCGCGAUGUCGGGGACCUCGGUCCCGCGGCACGCGUCCGUAUGUUCUUCAAACCAGGUGUCGUCGGCGUGCACUUCUCCCCUAGUAGGACGUCGCGACCCGUUGGGUGUCGGUCUACGGCCCGGGUGGGAGCCUGGACUGCGUGCGCUUCGCGGCGCUACUCUGUCCAGACCCCCGGUUGCCCGACCGGCUGCCCGGCGGUACUCGCACGGUAUCGAGCCGCAAUUAUUCGAACUGCGUCCGGCCCGGCGCAAGCGAGACCACUGUUACCCGGACGCACGGAUCCAAUGCCGUCGCCGGGCUUGGUCGGCUGCUGGCCGCCGGUGCCCUUGGACGGGCUCAACCAUUAUGAUACCGGUCGGCGACGCUACUGCUUUGGGUACUCUCAGGA